rnacentral:tmRNA from 7 species
GGGGAUGAUCGGCCUCGAGGGAGAGCGAUUGAUCAUGCGUUCAGGCACCCCGCCAGGGCGGGGUUAAAUCUCACCCCUGGGAAAUCAAUAAGUGCAAACUUAUUUUCUAAAGUAACCGCUGCUUUUGGCGCUUUGCGUCCAAUGCAGUUGGCAACUUCUUACGCUUAACCGCGUAGGCAUCCGUCCUUGAUUCUCGCUAAAGGGUCGCGGGUGUUAUAAGCGAGAAAAACUCUAUCAAGAGUAUAACUUGAAAAAAUUUUUCCCGAGAGCAAUCGAGGGAAUAAGCCUGUAAACCGUAGAUCAUGAUUUUUUCCGACCCGGGUUCAAUUCCCGGCAUCUCCACAU